ACUGAGGUCUUCGAUCUGGGCUGGCCUUUCUCUGGCUCUGGACAGAGAGUGUCAUUCCUCAGCAUGGAGCUGGCUUUGCCUACAGCAUUCACUGUAGGCGAAGUUUGAUGCAACAGUACAGAAAAAGAGCUAUCAACAAUGCCAACAUCUUCACCUGAGCUAUGGAGCUGCACAGUGAACUCUUAGAUUUCCUUGGAAAUUUUUCAGCGAGUCAAAAUUUUGUUGGAAACAUCUACACAGCUUUCAUAAUGCAAGUUACUUGGGCUUUUGAAGUGCCUUGGAUUUGACAGACUUCUGUGAGCUCAAAGAUUGCAAGGAUGCUUGGAGGUCAUCUGGUCCAACCCCAUGCUGAAAGCAGACCUGACUGUGCAAUUAGAUGAUGUAUUCCUUGGCCUGGUUUGGUGAAGCUGUGCAUCUCUCUGGGAGCAGGGAUGCUGCAGGCCCUUUCUGUGUUCCUGUGCUCAACUGUGCCCU